GUGAAGGAUGGAGGAGCUGAACACACAGCGCCAUCUAAUGCUGGAUUCCUAACAUGGUUCUGUGGGUCUUGGCAGAGGAUCAUUAUUGUAGGAUAUAGCGCACAAAAUACGGUAGGUGGCGGUACUGCGCCUAUGAGUGAACGGCCAUUAACAAGAAGAAGACAGCACCGGAAGACGCUAAAACUCAGCAGACCUAGAUCUCGCUGUACCGACUACCUAUCGACGCUAUUAAGGACGUCAGAGUUGAACACACGGCAGGUGAACACACACACAGUUGAAAGGUGUGUUAACUCUUCGGGGCCGUGAGCAUCGCCUGCGAGUUUCAGCAUGGAGCAGGACAGGUACAUGCUGAUGGAGGAACACUCAGGUAGACUUCACAGGAACCUUCUGGUGUUUUACAGUAAUUCUAGUAAAUUGUGUACUGACUUACGAUUGUGCAGUAAAUCCCUACAAUACUACAUGUUCCUUUUAUUCUGAUAAAGUGCUGAAAUGUGUGUGUGUGUGUGUGUGUGUGUGUGUGAGUGAGAGAGAGAGAGAGAGAGUGUCCUACAAUAAAGUGAUCAAAUGUGUGAAGUUGUAUUGUCGUUCUUGCUGACUCGAGUCAUAUGAAGUUUCUUUAAAACUCCAACAUGCUGAUGUUUCUCCUCAUUUAUACAUCAUACUGCUGUGAUCAUGUGAACUGUUGGAAUAUAGUUAAGUGGAUGUAUUUUAUUUAUUUAUUUUUAAAUAUAUGCUUUUGCAUUAACCAUACAGGUAAGCUGAGCUUUAGAGUAAACUCUGGUGACUUUAAGGAACACAUUAGGAGUUAGUUCAGAACCGGUUCUUUGUAUAAUAACUCCAGUUACAUUGCUUGUAUUUUCCCAGUCUAGAUUAUUCUUAAAUUCCUGCAUUGCUUCAUAACUGAAUCUGUUUUGUUAAAAUUAUUAUUAGUUGUAAUUAAAAGCUGUUGUGUAAAUUAAUUAAUAAAUCUAAAUUCAUAUGUAAGGCUAGCUGGGGAAUCUCAGCCUCCUUUAAACUGUUAAAAUCUGGCAGUGAAGCGUUUUUCUAUGUUAAAUGUAGAAAAGUAUCCACUAUUUCUCCCUCUUUGUGAAAUUUUAUAUUCUAGUGGUUUAAAUUGAUCAAAAAUCUCCCUGCAGUAUUGCACUGUUCCUUUUAACUGUUUUCGGUGAACAGCGCAGCCUGCUUGGAAAUCUUUGACCCCCCCCCCCCCCCCCCCCCCCCCUUUGCUAAUCCACAGUGAAACCCAAAAUUAAGUGUUCAGAACAAACCAAUCUCAUGUUCAAAAGUAAUUAUCAUGCAGCUGUCAUCACUGGAAUUACUCUGAUUUACCCCAAAUAAAGAUCCACUUUUGUAGAAUUUUCUUCACAGCUUGGUUUUAUCUGACUGCUGAAGCCGAGGGCUCCAAAGGGCUCACAGUGCAUGCAUGGUAUCUCACUGGGUGAAAGAUAUCGAUCAGGAGAGGGGUAUAAAAGAAUUUCCAAACAUUAGAUGUACCAUUGAACAAGGUGAACAUCAACAAGUGGAGAAAACGGAGCAGCACAGUGACAUCACCAAGAGCAGGAUGUCCCUCCAACAUUUAUAAAAGGAGGGCACACAAACGUACCAGGGAGGAGGCCAGAAGACCUCCAGCAACAUUAACGGAGCUGCAGGAACAUAUGACACGUACUGAUUACUCUCUGAAUGUAACAACAAUCUCAUUUUCUUCACCUGCCUGGGCAAUGGGGUAGGGGGACUAGACGGAAGGCCUUUCUCACAAAAAACAUCCAAACUGAACUAAAUCACCCCAAACCAUGAAGUGGGCUGUGCACAGGAGAUGCCAUUACAAUUUCACGGAUCUAGAAAGAGUAUUGGCAAGUCAAAAUGUUCCAUAGACUCUUACCCAGAAAACUAAGUGGUGUAAUUAAAUCAAAAGCUGCUUCUAUAAAAGUAGUAGUUUAGGCGUGUGCACGCUUAUGCAACCAGGUUAUU
ensembl:lncRNA